rnacentral:lncRNA from 1 species
CAGUCGUUAGUGUUUACCAAACAUUUUAGUGCUUUAAGAUACAGUUGCUCAAUCUCAAUCCUAAACGCACUCAUAAUCAUAAUAAAUGCAUUUUGUUCUCAGAAAACUAAUCUUACUCAUAAGUCACAAAACAUGCGUUGCGCGGACACUUAGUUUUUCAACAAUUAUUUUCUAUAAGAACUGGCGUGGAUAGUGAUGCAUCACCCACUUUGAUCAUAAGAAGGUUAUAAAAACUCAAUUAUGACUCAUCAGUCAUCAUCUCGUGUAACAUAACACGUCUUACUCAAUGUGAUGCCUUUCAUAAAUUAAAACAACUUCUCUUAGGUUUUUCAUCAAGUAAUUAAUUAUAGCCAUGUUCGGUAUUCAAACAAAUAAUAAUUAAUGUCUAAAAUCAUGUGUCGUUAUCGACGAUUCAAUUAUUUUGAACAAGUCGCGAAUCUGGAUUAGGCUUUGAUAAGCAGUUGCUUCACAGAAACAAUUAAAAAAAUCAAAUGUUAAAAAUAUUAAUUGGUGGGGUGACCGAUAUCUUUCUAUCUCAUUCUUAAAGUCGA